UACGGAGGGGGCAAGCGUUGUUCGGAAUUACUGGGCGUAAAGGGCUCGUAGGUGGCCAAUUACGUCAGGCGUGAAAUCCCCAGGCUCAACUUGGGAACUGCGUCUGAUACUGGUUGGCUUGAAUUCGGGAGAGGGAUGCAGAAUUCCAGGUGUAGCGGUGAAAUGCUUAGAUAUCGUCAAGAACACCGAGAGUGUAGACAGCUUACUGAGCUUUAACUGACGCUGAGGCGCGAAAGUGUGGGGAGCAAACAGG
rnacentral:rRNA from 1 species